rnacentral:lncRNA from 1 species
AAAACUAAACAUGCUGGCUAUACUCUUAGAACCAUAUGUGCUUUUAUGAUUUAUAAGAUCAUCAGUAGUAGGACUGUGAUCAUGGGGAGAUACAAUUGAUGGCUGCACAAUUAAUAUAGAUUAUUGAAAGUGCUUAUUUCAUAUAGCAGAGAAACUAGAUGUGCAGAGUGAGAGAGAGAGGGAUUCAGGGAAAUAUGAUAUAGAUGGUGGAUUCCUAGUGAGUUUUUGAGGGUUUAUUUAUUUAUCCAUUCAUAUUAUGUAUGGUAGUCUACCUGUUACAUCAACUAACAGGGUUAGCCUACAAGUUUAGCAGUGGUGGACACAUGAAUUGGGUGGUGGUGACUGCAGCAACAGAGGUGGCCUGGGGUGGAGUCAAAUUCCCAGCCUGAUUUACUGUCCCAGUCCGCCACUGGUUAAGUCCAUUAAAAGAUUAUUAAAAAUGGAUAGUGUCAGAAUGAAAUAUGUAGAUCUGCACAGUAAAAAGUUAAAAUAUUCACUAAUUAUUAUAACUGUCACAAAAGUUUCUUUUCCAUGUGAGACGUAAUUUAUUCCAGUUUAUUCAGAUUUGACUCAUUUUUAUUCAGAGUUUAUUCAGAUUUUCUAUUCUUAUUCACUCAUGUUCUCAUACAGCGCUGCAUAUUAAUAAAGUUGUGUUGCCCACUUAUUAUUUGGAAUGGCAUGAUAACAAAGGUUCUGUGAUGUUCAUUCUCAUUAAGAUUCACUGUAGCAUGAGGCUACAUUUUCUUGUACCCAGGAUGAAAUAUUACUGUAUUAAAUAUAUAUUUAAUUCAGCUGUAUUUUGAAAAACAGGUUGUUUUUGUUUACUAACCCCCAUAAUGAAAUAAAACCUUCGAUAUCUUUGCAAAUUUUGGUUCCAGGUAGCGGCAAACAUUCACACAAAUGUCGACUUUAUACUAUUCAAGUUGAGCGGAGCUAUGGUGGAACUAUGCUUAACUGCCUACAUUUCUCUCCUGCAGAUAUUAGUUUUGGGAGAUAUUCUGGGAAAUCCUUUUUGGAGUUUGAGGGCAUUGAAGUCGGUGCUGCAUUCAGUGUCACGGUGAGAUUCCUGACUGAAUCCAUGUACGGAACCCUGCUGUAUUCAGCCAGUGCCAUAAAAGGCAUCUUCUUCAUCAAACUCUACAUUUAUAAUGGAACGCUUCAGUAUGACUUUUUGUGCAACCAAAAGGAGGGACCUCAGCGGAUCAAUACAGCACAGCAGGUUGCUGAUGGAAAUGAGCAUGUGCUGCUAUUGAGGUAAGAGAAUUUCUCCUCCAGUAUCCAUAUAGUUUGUGAUCAUAGAGAUUAAAA